AAGAAAAUAAAAAUAACCGGCCGGGUGCAGUGGCUCACGCCUGUAAUCCCAGCACUUUGGGAGGCCGAGGCGGGCGGAUCACGAGGUCAGGAGAUCAAGACCAUCCUGGCCAACACGGUGAAAUCCCAUCUCUACUAAAAAUACAAAAAAAUUAGCCAGGCAUGGUGGCGGGCGCCUGUAGUCCCAGCUACUCGGGAGGCUGAGCUGACUUUGGUGUGUCUGCCAAGAAUCUGAAGACUCUACAGAAACGAGAUUCCUUCAUCGGCACGCCUUACUGGACUCUGUGUUCCGGGUUGCUGCUGCCAUCUCGCGGUAGGCAUCGGAACUGCAGCAGGACGUGGCGGGGAGCCGCGUGGAGGCGUUUUUCUGUGGAAGAGCGUCCUAAGGAAGACAGUGGGAUGCAAAGUCACGCAGAUCAUGAUUCGGGAGUGCUGCCAACCCCGACAGUGGCUCGUGGUGGCCCUUGACCCUGAAUGUCCAAGAAGCACCUGUAAAGGCCAGAUUCUUAGCCCUAUGUUGUCCCUUGGUUGGUUCA
rnacentral:sRNA from 1 species